UACAGAGGAGCCAAGCGUUGUCCGGAUUGACUGGGCGUAAAGCGCACGCAGGCGGUCGCGCGCGUGGGGUGUGAAAUCUGGCCGCUUAACGGCCAGGCGCCAUCCCAUACGGCACGACUGGAGUGAUGCAGAGGUCGGUGGAAUUGCCGGUGUAGUGGUGAAAUGCGUAGAUAUCGGGAGGAACACCUGUGGCGAAAGCGGCUCACUGGACCACAACUGACGCUGAGGCGCGAAAGCUAGGGGAGCAAACAGG
rnacentral:rRNA from 1 species